UACAGAGGGGGCAAGCGUUGUUCGGAAUUACUGGGCGUAAAGGGCGCGUAGGCGGCCUGUUAAGUCGAACGUGAAAUCCCUGGGCUCAACCCAGGAACUGCGUCCGAUACUGGCAGGCUUGAAUCCGGGAGAGGGAUGUGGAAUUCCAGGUGUAGCGGUGAAAUGCGCAGAUAUCAGGAAGAACACCCGUGGCGAAGGCGGUUCUCUGGGACGGUACUGACGCUGAGACGCGAAAGCGUGGGGAGCGAACAGG
rnacentral:rRNA from 1 species